rnacentral:lncRNA from 1 species
UAAAUUAAACUAAGGGUCCUCAAAAAUUCAUCUAAGGCUCCUCAAUAUUGGCAUUGUUGGCAGCGACCUUCUGUUUUAGUUCCUUGAUCUGCCUAGACAUUGCAUUCUGAUUCUUUCGUAGGAAGUCGAUCUGGCUAUCCAACAUUUUGUACCUCCCAUUGAGCAGCUUGAUCUGUACUCCGUGGAUGUAGGGGUCCGGCGGUAGCUCUACCGACUGUGGAAUGAAAAUAAAGAUCACUAAUUAGAGGUUUUUAACUGUUAGCGGAUCUAAUAAUGUCAACUCACAAUCCAUAUGGAUUUGGAGUUAAACGUAAGGCCAAAGAACAACUGUUCAAGAACAUACCUCAUAGCUUGAAUCGCUGUCGGUGGUCAUAUCUAUGGACAGACAUCCAUUGACGCACGUGCGCAACUCUCGGUUUUCAUAGUCCAAGCAGUUGCAACACAAGCCAAAGUUCAUGCUGC